rnacentral:rRNA from 1 species
UACAGAGGAGCCAAGCGUUGUCCGGAUUGACUGGGCGUAAAGCGCACGCAGGCGGUGGUGCGCGUGGGGUGUGAAAUCUGGCCGCUUAACGGCCAGGCGCCAUCCCAUACGGCACGACUGGAGGGCUGCAGAGGUCGAUGGAAUUGCCGGUGUAGUGGUGAAAUGCGUAGAGAUCGGCAGGAACACCCAGGGGGAAACCAGUCGACUGGGCAUCUACUGACGCUGAGGUGCGAGAGCGUGGGGAGCGAACCGG